GACACUUUAACGCUUGCCUUACUCUUAAUUUCGCAGUUAUACAGUUAGCAUUGCCGCUUUGGUAAUUGCUAUACUGAACAAUUUUGAACGUGUAAUUAACGUGAUUUCUCUUCUGGUUGUUGUAUUUACAGAAAAAAAAAUAUGGUUUUGCGUUUGAAGGUUCUCUCAUGAUGUACAAGAGCAAGCCUCGACCCGAGUCAAAAACAGAAACUAACCUAAGCGCAUAAUUGAUCUGAAGGUGAGACUAUGCUGUGAAUCUUGCAAUAACCAGCUCAAAAAGAUAUUGAAGGACAAGGGGUUAGAAAUGUUAACCGUGGAUGAGGAGAGACAUAUAAUCAAGGUCAGGGGCUCAAUGGAUGUUGCAGAAUUCAUAUCUGAUAUCCAGGACAAAUGAAGAAGGACAUCGAGGUGGUGAAUAAUGAAGCAGUCAUGUUUCCCCCCAAAGCAGAAAAUGGUUCUACCGAUGAGAAAGACGAAGGCAAAGAUGGGGACAGUAAGAAAGUGAAGGAUGAUGGUGCUACAAUAAAGAGUACAGUGGUGAACUUGAAGACGAGAUUAGAUUGUGAUUCUUGCAUUCGAAAUACCCUGAGAGCUAUCUUGAGUAUCAAAGGAGUUGAGAGGGUAUUGAUAAACGCAGGUGAAAAUCUAGUAGUGGUGGAGGGCACCAUGAAUGUGGAAAAAUUGACACCUUAUUUGAAAAAGAAAAUAAAAAAAAAGCGUGGAGAUCGUUCCCAUUAAAAAAGAAAAUAGCAACGGAGACGAAGAAUUUUAAUUUAGAAGAUGAAGAGCAUUGCGAUUGGAGUGGAGCAUGGAGUAAUGUGGAAAUGAUAUUGGCUCACAUUUCAUGUCUAAAUAAAAAUUCCUGCUACAUAUAUUGUUCUAAAGAGGGAUUUUUUAUUCUUUUCCUUAAAAAGGAUAUUGUAGAAGGUUUGAGUAAAUAAAAAUAUCGAUUUUAUAUUCAGUCAAACCUACUCCAAUAUCCUUGAAACUGAAUGAAAUUUUACAUUUUAUAAUUUAUUAACAGAUAUUUUUGAACUGAGGGCUAUCCAU